rnacentral:rRNA from 1 species
GAUGAACGCUGGCGGCGUGCCUAAUACAUGCAAGUCGAGCGAAUGGAUUAAGAGCUUGCUCUUAUGAAGUUAGCGGCGGACGGGUGAGUAACACGUGGGUAACCUGCCCAUAAGACUGGGAUAACUCCGGGAAACCGGGGCUAAUACCGGAUAACAUUUUGAACCGCAUGGUUCGAAAUUGAAAGGCGGCUUCGGCUGUCACUUAUGGAUGGACCCGCGUCGCAUUAGCUAGUUGGUGAGGUAACGGCUCAGCAAGGCAACGAGGCGUAGCCGAGCGGAGAGGGUGAUCGGCCACACUGGGACAGAGACACGGCCCAGACUCCUACGUGAGGCAGCAGUAGUGAAUCUUCCGCAAGGGACGAAAGUCUGAGGGAGCAACGCCGCGUGAGUGAGGAAGGCUUUCGGGUCGUAAAACUCUGUUGUUAGGGAAGAACAAGUGCUAGUUGAAUAAGCUGGCACCUUGACGGUACCUAACCAGAAAGCCACGGCUAACUACGUGCCAGCCGCCGCAGUAA